ACGGGGUGCAGCAGGCGCGAAAACUUUGCAAUGUGCGAAAGCACGACAAGGUUAAUCCGAGUGAUUUCUGCUAAAGAAAUCUUUUGCUAGUCCUAGAAACACUAGUGAAUAAGGGGUGGGCAAGUUCUGGUGUCAGCCGCCGCGGUAAAACCAGCACCUCAAGUGGUCAGGAUGAUUAUUGGGCCUAAAGCAUCCGUAGCUCGUUUUGUAAGUUUUCGGUUAAAUCCAUACGCUUAACGUAUGGGCUGCCGGGAAUACUGCAUAACUAGGAAGUGGGAGAGGUAGACGGUACUCGGUAGGAAGGGGUAAAAUCCUUUGAUCUAUUGAUGACCACCUGUGGCGAAGGCGGUCUACCAGAACACGUUCGACGGUGAGGGAUGAAAGCUGGGGAGCAAACCGGAUUAGAUACCCGGGUAGUCCCAGCUGUAAACUAUGCAAACUCAGUGAUGCAUUGGCUUGUGGCCAAUGCAGUGCUGCAGGGAAGCCGUUAAGUUUGCCGCCUGGGAAGUACGUACGCAAGUAUGAAACUUAAAGGAAUUGGCGGGGGAGCAC
rnacentral:rRNA from 2 species